rnacentral:rRNA from 1 species
UGGGGAAUUUUGGACAAUGGGCGAAAGCCUGAUCCAGCAAUGCCGCGUGUGUGAAGAAGGCCUUCGGGUUGUAAAGCACUUUUGUCCGGAAAGAAAUCCUUGGCUCUAAUACAGUCGGGGGAUGACGGUACCGGAAGAAUAAGCACCGGCUAACUACGUGCCAGCAGCCGCGGUAAUACGUAGGGUGCAAGCGUUAAUCGGAAUUACUGGGCGUAAAGCGUGCGCAGGCGGUUUGCUAAGACCGAUGUGAAAUCCCCGGGCUCAACCUGGGAACUGCAUUGGUGACUGGCAGGCUAGAGUAUGGCAGAGGGGGGUAGAAUUCCACGUGUAGCAGUGAAAUGCGUAGAGAUGUGGAGGAAUACCGAUGGCGAAGGCAGCCCCCUGGGCCAAUACUGACGCUCAUGCACGAAAGCGUGGGGAGCAAACAGGAUUAGAUACCCUGGUAGUCCACGCCUAAACGAUGUCAACUAGUUGUUGGGGAUUCAUUUCCUUAGUAACGUAGCUAACGCGUGAAGUUGACCGCCUGGGGAGUACGGUCGCAAGAUUAAAACUC